rnacentral:rRNA from 1 species
ACUGAAUAGAUACCCCGGUAGUCCACGCUGUAAACGAUGAGUGCUAGAUGCCGGAUUUUUUCGGUGUCGCAGCUAAACGCAUUAAGCACUCCACCUGGGAAGUACGAUCGCAAGGUUGAAACUCAAUGGAAUUGACGGGGGCCCGCACAAGCAGUGGAGCAUGUGGUUUAAUUCGAUGCAACGCGAAGAACCUUACCUAGGCUUGAAAAGCUUAUGACCGGCUGUGAAAGCAGCUUUCCCGCAAGGGCAUAAGUACAGGUGCUGCAUGGCUGUCGUCAGCUCGUGCCGUGAGGUGUUGGGUUAACGUCCCGCAACGAGCGCAACCCUUACCAUUAGUUGCCACGGAGCAAUCCGAGCACUCUAAUGGAACUGCCUACGCAAGUAGUGAGGAAGGUGAGGAUGACGUCAAGUCCGCAUGGCCCUUACGCCUAGGGCUACACACGUGCUACAAUGGCCG